GGAGAGAUGGCAGAGUGGUCGAAUGCGGCGGUCUUGAAAACCGUUGAGGCGCAAGUCUCCGGGGGUUCGAAUCCCUCUCUCUCCGCCA
rnacentral:tRNA from 6 species